rnacentral:rRNA from 1 species
GAUGAACGCUGGCGGCGUGCCUAAUACAUGCAAGUCGAGCGAACGGACGAGAAGCUUGCUUCUCUGAUGUUAGCGGCGGACGGGUGAGUAACACGUGGAUAACCUACCUAUAAGACUGGGAUAACUUCGGGAAACCGGAGCUAAUACCGGAUAAUAUUUUGAACCGCAUGGUUCAAAAGUGAAAGACGGUCUUGCUGUCACUUAUAGAUGGAUCCGCGCUGCAUUAGCUAGUUGGUAAGGUAACGGCUUACCAAGGCAACGAUGCAUAGCCGACCUGAGAGGGUGAUCGGCCACACUGGAACUGAGACACGGUCCAGACUCCUACGGGAGGCAGCAGUAGGGAAUCUUCCGCAAUGGGCGAAAGCCUGACGGAGCAACGCCGCGUGAGUGAUAAAGGUCUUCGGAUCGUAAAACUCUGUUAUUAGGGAAGAACAUAUGUGUAAGUAACUAUGCACAUCUUGACGGUACCUAAUCAGAAAGCCACGGCUAACUACGUG